UACGUAGGGUGCGAGCGUUGUCCGGAAUUAUUGGGCGUAAAGAGCGCGUAGGCGGUCUGAUAAGUCUUGUGUGAAAGCCCUGGGCUCAACCUGGGAAUGGCAUUGGAAACUGGCGACCUAGAGUGCGGUAGAGGGUAGUGGAAUUCCCGGUGUAGCAGUGAAAUGCGUAGAGAUCGGGAGGAACAUCUGUGGCGAAGGCGACUGCCUGGACCAGCACUGACACUGAGGCACGAAAGCGUGGGGAGCAAACAGG
rnacentral:rRNA from 1 species